UUAAGGCCCGUGAUUUGAGGACAUACGAGAUUGUUGCUGUCAAAAAGUUGAAAACAAAGUUCUAUUUCUGGGAAGAAUUUACAAAUUUAAGAGAAGUCAAGGCUCUCCAAAAAAUGAAUCACCCAA